UGGGGAAUUUUGGACAAUGGGGGAAACCCUGAUCCAGCCAUCCCGCGUGUGCGAUGAAGGCCUUCGGGUUGUAAAGCACUUUUGGCAGGAAAGAAACGUCAUGGGUUAAUACCCCGUGAAACUGACGGUACCUGCAGAAUAAGCACCGGCUAACUACGUGCCAGCAGCCGCGGUAAUACGUAGGGUGCAAGCGUUAAUCGGAAUUACUGGGCGUAAAGCGUGCGCAGGCGGUUCGGAAAGAAAGAUGUGAAAUCCCAGAGCUCAACUUUGGAACUGCAUUUUUAACUACCGGGCUAGAGUGUGUCAGAGGGAGGUGGAAUUCCGCGUGUAGCAGUGAAGUGCGUAGAUAUGCGGAGGAACACCGAUGGCGAAGGCAGCCUCCUGGGAUAACACUGACGCUCAUGCACGAAAGCGUGGGGAGCAAACAGG
rnacentral:rRNA from 1 species